rnacentral:rRNA from 1 species
GAUGAACGCUGGCGGCGUGCCUAAUACAUGCAAGUCGAGCGAACAGACGAGGAGCUUGCUCCUCUGACGUUAGCGGCGGACGGGUGAGUAACACGUGGAUAACCUACCUAUAAGACUGGGAUAACUUCGGGAAACCGGAGCUAAUACCGGAUAAUAUAUUUAAACGCAUGGUUCAAUAGUGAAAGACGGUUUUGCUGUCACUUAUAGAUGUAUCCGCGCCGCAUUAGCUAGUUGGUAAGGUAACGGCUUACCAAGGCGACGAUGCGUAGCCGACCUGAGAGGGUGAUCGGCCACACUGGAACUGAGACACGGUCCAGACUCCUACGGGAGGCAGCAGUAGGGAAUCUUCCGCAAUGGGCGAAAGCCUGACGGAGCAACGCCGCGUGAGUGAUGAAGGUCUUCGGAUCGUAAAACUCUGUUAUUAGGGAAGAACAAAUGUGUAAGUAACUAUGCACGUCUUGACGGUACCUAAUCAGAAAGCCACGGCUAACUACGUG